ensembl:lncRNA LINC01624 long intergenic non-protein coding RNA 1624
AGGGAAGAACCUGGCUGAGACGCACCUGCAACUGUUUGGAGCUGGUGACCUUGGGCCCAGCACACCCUCGCUGCUGGUGGACACAGCCCCUCACAAGCAGCUGCGAGGCCCUCGGGCAGUGGCAUGGGCGCCGUCGCUUCCUGCUAACCCCACAUCCUCAUUUCCCACGCUUCUCCUUCCACCUUCCAUGAUCACUGGGACCUACUGCCUCAGGAACCGCCUCAGAGGGACAGAGGGAAGCAGACCACCCUUUUCUUCAGAGAGUUCAUGGCCCAGGGAGGGAACGCUGGCUGGGGACGAUCACAAAGCCUCUCUGGUGCCCGGCCAGCGACAGGGACCCUCGGGGCUGCGGGGGGAGAGGACGCCCCUGCCCUGGCCGCACAGGGUUGGGUUAGAGGUGAGCUGGGGCCGGAGAAGCCACGGGAGCCAUGUGGCGCCUUCUCAGGAGGUGCUCCCGCAGCUUCGCCUCCUCUCGUCUUCCGUGCGCAGGGAGGGACCAGCCCAGUGACAGCUGGGAGCAAAACUGGUCACCUCCCCUCGGGCUCUGGGCAACUGUCAACCUGCAGCUUUGAGUCUCUCCCCCUGGAAUCUUCUAUCUGGGGUAUGAUAAUGUUAUUACAUACGUUGGUUAUUUACAGCACAACAUGAAAAGGCAAUUUGUAAGGACUGGUCCGUCUAAUCGGGGCGAAUCACCAGUCUUCUGAGGCAUCGUAUUGAGUUUAGUUUCCGACUGAUUGCUAAAUGCCUUCACGCUGCGUGGAUAUUGCCCAGCUCUGCCUCCCUUGCUGCAGGUGCCCUGUGGAUGCUGAGCUUCCACGGAGGGGCUGCUGCCCCCUCUGCCCCCACAGCUCAGCUCGAGUUCACCAGUGGGGAAGGCCGAGGGCCUGUGGAACGAGGGCUCCGUUCCCCCACCGCAAGGAGUGAACGGCACCGAGGUUCCCGCCGCCGAGCCGCAGCGCUGUGCAAGCCCCCGAUGGGCGACGGACACCAGGCCCCAGCCCAACGCGCUUCCUUUGGCUCCUCCUGAACUGGGGGGGGGGCCUCGCACCCGCCUUGCCAGGGCCCUGGCAUCUGUCUCACUGGCCUUUCUCACCUGGUAUUCCAGUGAGGAGGGUGCUUCAGUUUUACUCCCUUUGAGAGGCAAGAUCUUCUCAACCCACAAGAAGAGGCGACCAGGUCCUGGGUGACUGUCGAAUAAGCCUGGUCCAACUGGGAACAAGUCUUCUGGGCCCUAAUUUCCCACAUGGUGUUCUUGUCUGACAAAAUCACAGCCUUCCACGUUCAAGAAUCUUCAUUCAUCUCUCUCUUUCAGCGAAUGUUCCCUAAGCUCUCCCAUCACUGAGCACUGCUGCCAACAGCCCAGCUGCAUGCUACCACUUUGGUUUGAUGGAGAGAAGGGCUCAGAACCUCGUGCAAGUGGGAGGCAAGCACAAGUACAAAGGCAUCUUCCGGAGCCAAGGUGGGGGCGCAGAGGGCCUGUCUCAGUGAGAUCCCACUGUCUUCCAGGGUUUGCCACCGCAGCAGUAAGCCCUGGAGUGGCCCCACACCCUAAGAUCCACGGGGGAAAAGGUGGAUGUCUCAGCAUGGGUUUGUAACAUUGUUCUCUUAAAUAAGCAGAGGAUGCAGAAUUAGGAGCAAGCAUUCCGAGGGGUGGCCAGCUGUGGCUUCCGAGGGGCACCUGACCUCCCAUCUGCCUUCUGAGCACCAGCUGCCCCAGGUGAGGUGUGUGGAGUUCCACAGCUACGAUGAGCCGUCGCCAUGGAGAACAGCAGCUCACGAUUGCUUUGAUUUAAAUUGAAUUAAGGUGAAAAUGAAUCAGGGCAUAACUCUCUUCUUUCAGCCAGACGUCUUUCUGAACCGGUGUAUAUAUGACUUAAAAAAGUCACGAGGGUUUUGGGCCCAGGGAUCAGGCAGGAAGGAAAGGCAGUGCCGUGCAAGGAGGGGUGGGUUAGAAAUUGUAUCCAGAACCGCUGUGGCUUGUACUGAAGGAAGAAACUUCGUAGUUCUGCUUCUAUUUCUACCACAACACCAAGGAAGGUGUGUGGGGUGGGGAGCAGGUACACACAGGUCCUUGGUAUUACCAGUGGUCCAGGAUUGUAUAAUUCCGCUUAUUCUACCCAUCCCACAGCCUGACCCUGACUCAAGUCCUGCAGCCCCUUGGUGCCCUGAGCCCCCUCCCCUGCCUGUUCCUAAGCAAUCAAUCACCCUAAGACCCCGUUCUAGGUUUCAGCAGAUGAUGACGAGUUAAUCAGACAAAUAAGCCAUGGGGUAGGCAGGGGUUGUGGGUGCUGCUUCCUGGUCCCUCUGGCAAACCAGAAGGGAGCUGCCUCCCUGCGGUCCCCACCCUGUCUCCAAGCUUCCCAGCAGAGCCCCACAUCCAGCAACUGGGCCCAGCUUUAACCAGACGGAGGAGCAGCCUGACGUCCUGCCAGCCCCAGAGACAGAUGUGGGCACAGGAAGGGAAGGCAGGGAGGAGAGGAAGCCAAUAAAAAGUGUUAGCAUCCGUCAGGGUGACCCUUUGCAGAACCUGCGUCAGCCUGAGGACGCAGGGAAAGGCUGCGCGGGAGAAGCCGCUGUUAGCAUCUGCCAGGGUGACCCUUUACAGAAACUGCGUCAGCCUGAGGACGCAGGGACAGGCUGUGCGGAGAAGCCGCUGUUAGCAUCCGUCAGGGUGACCCUUUACAGAAACUGCGUCAGCCUGAGGACGCAGGGACAGGCUGUGCGGAGAAGCCGCUGGCCUUUGCCGCUUGAAAGCUGGGUCCCUGCGGCCUCCUCACCCCAGGGCUCCCUCAGAGAAAUUCUCAUAGAACCCCUAAGCAAUACGCGGGGAAAGAACGGAUGCCACCCGGAAGCAUGCCGAGGAAGAGUCCAUUCAUGGGAACUUCCAGAGCCGGUCACAGAGGCCAGAUCCACGAUCAGGUGCAUGGCAGGGGCUUGUCCGCAGGACCGGAACCUUGUGGAAGAUACUACAUUCAACACAGACGUACUGUGUGCCUCCUGCGUGUGAGGCCUGGUGCUCAUGGCGCGUGUCCUUGCAUGCAAAAUUCUACUCUUCAUCUUGACGUUUCUAGACAUUCAGCUGUUCCUCAGGAAACGAUUUACCUUCCCUCUGCCUUUUCUGUAAAAUGCAUGGACUGAGGAAUUACUAAUGCAUAACACUUUGUUUGCUGGAUACCAAGUAGACGCACUCUUACCAUAUACAGGGCUGUAUCUAGGCAGCCAGUUAUUAGAAUAAAAACAGAAUACUAUGUUCAUCCGCUCAGAU